AUUCCUAUAGUUGAAAUACAACGAUGGUUUUUCAUGUCAUCAGUUAUGGUUAAAUUCCAUAUGGGAAUA
rnacentral:tRNA from 1 species